CCUACGGGAGGCAGCAGUCGGGAAUCCCUACCAAUGGGCGCAAUCGGGGAUCAUCGACAAUGCGUGGGGGAAGAAGGCCUUCGGGUUGUAAACCCCUGUUAGCCGUUCGGAUGGCGGUCCCGAGUUAAUGCCGUGCGGGUGACGGUGUCCGGCGAGGAAAACCCGGGUAAAUAUGUGCCACCACACGCGGUAUUACGUAUGGGGGGAGCGUUUUCCCGAAUAUCUGGGGGUAAAAGGGGUGUGGGGGGCCCGGUAAAAGUAAGGGGAAAAGUCCCGGGUCUACCCCGGAGGUGCCUUUCAAAGUGCCGGGGUUGAGUGGGCUAGAGGGCAGAGGAAUUUCCGGUGUAGCGCUGAAAAGUGUAGAGAUCUGGAGGAACACCCCUGGGGAAGGGGGCGGCCCGGGGCCUGUUCGACGC
rnacentral:rRNA from 1 species